rnacentral:rRNA from 1 species
CAAGGAUUCCCCUAGUAACGGCGAGUGAAGCGGGAAGAGCUCAAAUUUGUAAUCUGGCACUUUCAGUGUCCGAGUUGUAAUCUCGAGAAGUGUUUUCCGCGCUGGACCGCAUACAAGUCUGUUGGAAUACAGCGUCAUAGUGGUGAGAACCCCGUAACUGAUGCGGAUGCCCAGUGCUUUGUGAUACACUUUCGAAGAGUCGAGUUGUUUGGGAAUGCAGCUCAAAUUGGGUGGUAAAUUCCAUCUAAAGCUAAAUAUUGGCGAGAGACCGAUAGCGAACAAGUACCGUGAGGGAAAGAUGAAAAGCACCUUGGAAAGGGAGUUAACAGUACGUGAAAUUGUUGGAAGGGAAACGCUUGAAGUCAGACUUGCUAUGUGGAUUUAUUCGCUUCGCAGGCCAGCAUCAGUUUCUGGGGGUGGAAAAGGGUUUGGAGAAGGUAGCAACUCCGGUUGUGUUAUAGCUCCUUGCUGGAUUCAUCUUUGGGGACUGAGGAACGCAGCGCGCUUUUUGCAAGGCUUUCGAGCUUUUCGCGCUUAGGAUGCUGGUGGAAUGGCUUUAAA